rnacentral:misc_RNA from 1 species
GAUGAAGAACGCAGCGAAAUGCGAUACGUAAUGUGAAUUGCAAAUUCAGUGAAUCAUCGAGUCUUUGAACGCACAUUGCGCCCCUUGGUAUUCCGGGGGGCAUGCCUGUCCGAGCGUCAUUGCUGCCCUCAAGCACGGCUUGUGUGUUGGGCCCCGUCCUCCGAUCCCGGGGGACGGGCCCGAAAGGCAGCGGCGGCACCGCGUCCGGUCCUCGAGCGUAUGGGGCUUUGUCACCCGCUCUGUAGGCCCGGCCGGCGCUUGCCGAUCAACCCAAAUUUUUAUCCAGGUUGACCUCGGAUCAGGUAGGGAUACCCGCUGAACUUAAGCAUAUCAAUAAGCGGAGGA